UUGUUGUUUGCUCAUUUUCUUAGGCUAUUUCUCAAGUUUGAAUUUUAUAUUAAUGUUGGACUCUACUCAGCAUGUGUGUGUGUGUGUGUGUGUGUGUGUGUGUGUGUGUGUGUGUGUGUAUGUGUGUGUAAAGGCAUUUUCCCCAGAUUUAGACUUUUUUUGUGUUUCUAUUUUCAGAGCUAGUUCUGGAAUUCUGAAAGUUUUGGAGGCUUCCAAGGUGGUGCUAUCCUGGAAGAGGUGUGUUCCCUGCUCUUCUUAUCUACAUUCUGGUCUUUACCCAGGAAGUACAUCUACUAUCCUUGCAGAAAUCCUUUGCAGCAUAGAACAUUGCUACAGAGCUACAAGGAAUCCACAAACUUCUGCAGCUUGGAGCAGAGAACUGCAUGGCACUGGAAAAAGGGAGAAGUGAUCAAGAUGUGGGGUUGGAUUUUAUUGCAAACCUGUGAGUAGAGUCCUUUGGUAUGUUCCUGGUCCCUCAU
rnacentral:lncRNA from 1 species